UCCAUCUCAAAGCUUUGAUGGAAGCAGGGCAAAUGCUCUAAAUCUGUGAGGCCUGCUGACAAAAAGGAUAAGGAAGACUAAAGGUUUUAAAAGCAGGCCGUGAGGGAAACCAAACACCUCUGUUUCCUUCUUUUUUAUCCUCAUUUUUUUCCACAAUCUGGUUUUUCCCUAUAAAUAAAAAAAUCAGGAAGAGCUGAGUGGUGAGAGCAGAAAUAAACUACCACGUUCUAGUCUAUGUACUGACCAGCCAGGAGAUCAUCCUUCAACAUACAUAUAUGCACUCAGUUUACAGGUCCAAAAGACACAAAGUAAAAGAAGGCUAUGACUCAGAUGAACUCGAACUCCAACCUUUGGGCCCACCUGGCCCUGCAG